rnacentral:rRNA from 1 species
CAGCACCUCAAGUGGUCAGGAUGAUUAUUGGGCCUAAAGCAUCCGUAGCCGGCUCUGUAAGUUUUCGGUUAAAUCUGUACGCUCAACGUACAGGCUGCCGGGAAUACUGCAGCGCUAGGGAGUGGGAGAGGUAGACGGUACUCGGUAGGAAGGGGUAAAAUCCUUUGAUCUAUUGAUGACCACCUGUGGCGAAGGCGGUCUACCAGAACACGUCCGACGGUGAGGGAUGAAAGCUGGGGGAGCAAACCGGAUUAGAGACCCGAGUAGUC